AAGACUUUAAGUUAAAUUAAACUAAUAUCCUUCAAAGUUAUAAAUAAAGAUUAUAUUUAUCUUUAAGUCUUA
rnacentral:tRNA from 1 species